CCUACGGGUGGCAGCAGUCGGGAAUAUUGCGCAAUGGAGGAAACUCUGACGCAGUGACGCCGCGUAGAGGAAGAAGGUUUUCGGAUUGUAAACUAUUGUCGGUAGGGAAGAUAAAAGACUGUACCUAAGGAGGAAGCCCCGGCUAACUAUGUGCCAGAAGCCGGGGUACUACAUAGGGGGCAAGAGUUAUCAGGAAUUAUUGGGUGUAAAGGGUGCGUAGACGGAAGAACAAGUUGGUGGGGAAGUCCCUCGGCUCAACUGAGGAACUGCAAUGAAAAAUAUUCUCCUUGAGUGUCGGAGAGGAAAGUGGAAUUCCUAGUGUAGCGGUGAAAUGCGUAGAUAUUAGGAGGAACACCAGUGGCGAAGGCGACUUUCUGGACGAUAACUGACGUUGAGGCACGAAAGUGUGGGGAGCAAACAGGAUUAGAUACCCCGGUAGUC
rnacentral:rRNA from 1 species